rnacentral:pre_miRNA from 1 species
UUAACUCAAAUUUGUAUGGAGCUGGAACGUUUGCCUAAAUUUGACGCUAGGGGCGCUGAUCAAACUGCAUACUUUGAGUUA